rnacentral:tRNA from 1 species
AGUGGGGAAAAUAUUAGAUUUGAAGUCUAAAGACCUGGGUUCAAAUCCUUACCCUACUA